UCUUUUUAUCUUGCAGGGAAGCUGAAACUGAACAUUCGAUAAACAGGUUUAUGGAUAACAAAGAUGACGUUGCUAAGCUGAGGAAAUGCUUUGCUGGACUUUGGAGCUUGGACGAUCCAGAAAUCAUCAAGAAAGCAAUUGAGAAACCUGAGUUGUUUGUUAUGAAGCCUCAGAGAGAAGGAGGAGGUUAGAACCCUGUUGAAGUCCCCUAGAGUCUUCCUACUGUACUUCCCCCUCAUAUUCUAAGCUUAUGUUCUUGGAUUCUUUCAGGUAACAACAUCUAUGGAGAUGAUGUGAGGGAAAAUCUUCUGAGGUUGCAGAAAGAAGGAGAGGAAGAGAACGCUGCGUAUAUCCUAAUGCAGAGGAUAUUCCCAAAAGUGUCAAAUGUUUUCUUGGUGCGAGAAGGCGUUUACCACAGAGAUCAAGCUAUAUCAGAACUUGGAAUCUAUGGUGCUUACCUCAGGUACUGUGAGUAGAAAGAAGAGUUUGGUAUAAGCUUGAAAUUGAGUCUCUACUUAAUAUGUUGUGGCAUAAAUUUUUGAGCUAACGUGUAGGAACAAGGAGAGAGUUAUAAUAAACGAGCAGAGCGGUUAUCUGAUGCGCACAAAGGUCUCGUCAUCAGAUGAAGGUGGUGUUGCGGCUGGUUUUGCCGUCUUGGACAGCAUUUAUUUGAAUUGAGAUUGGAUCCACAUUCACAGUCAAAUUGAUUCAUGUUUCUGUUGGUUUAUUCCCUUCUCUCUUUUUCUCUUAAAGAUCUUUGUACUUCUAAUUAAUAAAGGUUAAUAAGACAUGACUAGGCAAAGCUCUUUACAUUUAUUUGCAGAAAACAUAUAUGCUUCUAAAAAUCUUUUUUUUUUGGGAUUUGGGAGAUGCAUGGCUGGUUCUGGAUAUAGCCAAGUGGAAUAUUGAUGUAAGACAUGGUUUAAACACAAAAUUUCAUUAAUGUUUAUAGCCUCGGGGUUUACACUAACAAGGCAUUUGAUGAAAUAAAUUUAAAACAAUGUAUGUAGUUGGAGAUUAUAAUAGGGUAAUUGUCAAUAAUAGCACCUUUUGAAGUUUAUGUCUCAAAAAUAGCACUAGAAGGAGAAAGUCACAAAAAUGACAUUCAUUAAAAGGUAAAAUAUCCUUAAUACCCUUGGUUUAAAAUUAAAUAAACAAACAAAAAUAAAUAAAAAUAAAUAAAAUAAAAAUAAAAAAAAGUAGAAUAAUAUUAUUCCUUGGAAAAGUCGUCGUAGUGAUCUUUGGCAGACGAACAUGUUUUAAACGUGAUGUGAUCCUCCAAAAGGCUUGCAAAUGGGCAGUGGCUGCUAUUCUCUCUUUUAACUCUUCUUCUUAUUCUUCUUCCACUUUCAUUGGUCCCUUUGAGGCGUGUGGGAGAUCUCUUGCGAUGGAAUCACACAAACCCAUGUUCCAAGUCGAAAACUUUGACGACGAGUUUGUCCAGAAACUGGUCUAUGAUGCUCUCGUUUGGUGUUCCCUUCACGGGCUCGUCGUUGGUGACAAAACUUAUCAGGUUAGUUGCUGUCCCCACUCUCAAGUUCCCGCCUUUUGAUGUUCUAAUCACACAAAGUUGAGAGGAAAGAUUCAAACUUUGAUCAUCUGUAUUGAGUCUUGUGUAGCUAAUUUGAAUUAUCCAUCUGAAUCAAGCUUAGAUAUCACUUGUUAUGGAUGAUAUAAACAAGAAUGUGUUUGAUGAGAAAGUUUUGAUUUAUAGAAAUCAGGAACAGUUCCAGGGGUUGGUAUGACGCACGCCCCGAUUUCAUUGCUGCCAACUCAGUUCCCAGAAAGUUACUGGAAGCAAGCUUGUGAAGUUGCUCCUAUCUUCAAUGAACUGGUUGAUCGUGUCAGCUUGGAUGCCCAAUUCAUACAGGACAGUCUCUCCAGGUUUGAGUUAUCUAAACUCUCUCUUCUCUCUCUCUCUAUCUGAAAGUAGCUGUCUUUGAUUGAUUCUCUAUAUGUUGCAGAACGAAGAAAGCCGACAUCUUUACAUCUAGACUUCUUGACAUUCACUCCAAGAUGCUAGAAAGCAACAAGAAAGAGGUCUGGUUUCAUGUUAAUCUUGAUUCCUUGGUAAGAAUGUUCUGGAUUAUAUUCAUUUGGAUGUGGUUGUGUUUGCAGGACAUUCGUUUGGGUUUACACCGGUCAGAUUAUAUGCUAGACGAAGAAACAAAAUCGCUUCUUCAGAUAGAGAUGAAUACUAUUUCCUGUUCCUUUCCAGGCUUUGGUCGUCUUGUUACCGAGCUACACCAGUACGUUUAUCUCCCAUACUACACCAUCUUCUGAUUUAGCUAAAAGGUUUACAUUUUUUUAAAUUUCUUUUCUUUCUCUUGUUUGCAGGUCAUUGCUUAGAUCUCAUGGGGAUCAUCUUGGCCUAGACUCUGAACGUGUACCCAAAAACACAUCCAAUAGCCAGUUUGCUGACGCAAUGGCUAAAGCUUGGUUGGAGUACAACAACCCAAGGUUAGACUUAGCCAAAGAACUUAUUUCCAAAGGUUUCAUGUUUAAAGAUAGAAUCUUUCUUUGUUUCAGAGCGGUAGUCAUGAUAGUUGUGCAGCCGGAUGAACGCAACAUGUACGAUCAGCAUUGGCUAAGCAGCGUACUGAGAGAAAAAUAUCCUCUUUUAUAUCUUGUUUCUCCGCUUUUCCGAGGCUCUAUCUCGAAUUUUUAUACUAUAUAAGGUGUUUUUUGCUCUUCUUUAACUUCAAAACACGCACAGUAUUGUAACCAUUAGGAAGAGUUUAGCAGAAGUCGAAACAGAAGGGAGUGUACAAGAGGAUGGAACCCUUAUUGUGUAAGUAGUUGUUUUUUUUUAAAACCAUUUAUUGUUGAAAACUAUGUGAAAGAGCUUUUGUUGUUGUUGCAGUGAUGGCCAAGAAGUCUCGGUGGUUUAUUACAGAUCAGGCUAUACUCCCAGAGAUUAUCCGUCUGAAUCAGUAAGUAAAGUAUCUUCUUUCCCAUUUUGUGGCUUGACCAUUUUAAGAAUAUUCUGAAUCAGUGUUGUGAUUUUUGAAGGAAUGGAAUGCUAGGCUGCUUAUAGAGCAGUCCUCAGCAGUUAAAUGCCCCUCUAUAGCUUAUCACUUAGCUGGCACCAAGAAAAUCCAGCAAGAACUUGCAAAACCAGGUGUUCUCGAGAGGUAAAACAGAUCAUCAUCUUUUUAUCUUGCAGGGAAGCUGAAACUGAACAUUCGAUAAACAGGUUUAUGGAUAACAAAGAUGACGUUGCUAAGCUGAGGAAAUGCUUUGCUGGACUUUGGAGCUUGGACGAUCCAGAAAUCAUCAAGAAAGCAAUUGAGAAACCUGAGUUGUUUGUUAUGAAGCCUCAGAGAGAAGGAGGAGGUUAGAACCCUGUUGAAGUCCCCUAGAGUCUUCCUACUGUACUUCCCCCUCAUAUUCUAAGCUUAUGUUCUUGGAUUCUUUCAGGUAACAACAUCUAUGGAGAUGAUGUG
rnacentral:lncRNA from 1 species